CAAUAGCGUAUAUUAAAGUUGUUGCGGUUAAAAGCUCGUAGUUGGAUUUCUGUUGAGGGCGACCGGUGUACACCUCGUGUAUUAUUUGGUUCGGUCUCGGCAUCCUCUUGGGGAACGUUUCUGGACUUUAUUGGACAGGGCGAGAUUCAAGACUUUUACUUUGAGGAAAUUAGAGUGUUCACGGCAGGCAAGCGCUUUGAAUACAUUAGCAUGGAAUAAUGAUAUAGGACUUUGGUUCUAUUUUGUUGGUUGUUCGAGGACCGAAGUAAUGAUUGAUAGGGACGGUUGGGGGCGUCAGUAUUCUGAAGCGAGAGGUGAAAUUCUUGGACCUCG
rnacentral:rRNA from 1 species